UAAACUGUGAAAUAAAUUUUUUAAUUAUGAAAAAUCAUUAUAAGCAGGAAAUAAAAUUUGAGUCAUUGGUUGGAUCAUGAUUUCAAAAGAAAUUUGCUAUGUAUCAAAGAUUUUGGUGUGAUUAGAUAGUACGAGAAAAGAUAACACAGUUCAAUUCUGACACUGUGAUAUAAAGUAUUUGUUAAUUACAAGCAGCUUUAGAACGCGCUACCGUUUUAGAUUUACAAUCAUUUCCAGAAGGAAAUAUCAUAAAGUUAGAAAUGGGGCUCAGACGAUUUCGUGCUAAAAUACCAGUACAAAAAAUAUCUGGUUUGUCUUAUAAUCCCGAAUUUUAUCGAAAAAUUUCACAGAAUGACCCUAAUGAGUCACAGAAGAAUGUAAACGAUAAUUUUAAGAAAUCAAACAACGUUAAUUAUAAGCAUAAAUAACAAAUGUCUAAAUAACAAAGAAAUAUAGAUUGUUUAAAUUAGUAAAUAAUUUUAUUUGUGUUAUAUAAAGAAAAUAAAUGUUACUUACCUGGCGAGUUUAGCAAGAGGAAAGUGAAUGCACAGUUUCUGAUAAAAUUCGCAAAAUUCUUUAUAGGAUCUAAAUAAAUAAGUGGGGUCUGCGUGACCCUUUCGCUGUAUACGCAAUAUAUACAUGUAAUAUUUUUCAGGGUCAUAUCGUUUUUGAUACCCAUGUACUUGAACGCUUGUUAAUUGACCUUCUUGCUGCAUUCUGUAACAAUUAAAAAAUAAUGCCUUUUAUUUCAAACUUUCAUACAAUUUUGUGAAAUUUAUAUUGACAAACUUACGUGUAUGUACGUGGAAUAAACGACAACAAUGCCCCGUCACUGUGAUCGCCCGAAAAUCGAAGCUGUGCCAAAUUGUGUAAGAAAAAGUUGAAUUGAGUGAACCAACUUUUAAGCGAACUUUCGAUCAUUCGAGCGAAUGUCGCGGCAGCUUCGGGAUUCGUUUGUUCGGGAAGAAGAGCUUUUUGUACAUAACUAACCGCGUCCACCGUUACACCAGGAAUACCAGACGAAGUCAUCUGUGAAUUCGUAUAGUUAUUCAUUUUAGAUUUGUUCGCUAAUUCUUUGAUCUCGAUAUUAGCAAGUUUCUGUUGUAUAACGUUUAAUUCAGUCAUAUUAUUUUUAAGACGACGACAGAUCUAACGUGUAAACUUUAUGAUACACAAAUUAAGUUAACAGAUUACUGUUAUUAAUUUUCUGAAAUUUUUAGCAUGUUUACUCUUCUCUUAAUUGACUCAGACUGCUGCAUUGUUUGAUAUUACGAGACCUCGGGCGAUAAACACUAAUUAACGCAUAUAGUUUAGCGUGAUAGCGGGCCACUUUCAGAUAAAACGCGAGGAUAAGUCCUUCCGUUGCGGUAUUUUUGUUUUUGUAACGGAAUAAUCAUUUAAAUUACAACACUAUCGAGCUUAAAAAUGAAUGUAUUAUAAAUAAAAAUGUCUGUAUUACUGUAUAA